GAUGAACGCUGGCGGCGUGCCUAAUACAUGCAAGUAGAACGCUGAAGGAGGAGCUUGCUCUUCUGGAUGAGUUGCGAACGGGUGAGUAACGCGUAGGUAACCUGCCUGGUAGCGGGGGAUAACUAUUGGAAACGAUAGCUAAUACCGCAUGACAACAGUUAUUGCAUGAUAACUGUUUAAAAGGGGCAACUGCUCCCCUACCAGAUGGACCUGCGUUGUAUUAGCUAGUUGGUGAGGUAACGGCUCACCAAGGCGACGAUACAUAGCCGACCUGAGAGGGUGAUCGGCCACACUGGGACUGAGACACGGCCCAGACUCCUACGGGAGGCAGCAGUAGGGAAUCUUCGGCAAUGGACGGAAGUCUGACCGAGCAACGCCGCGUGAGUGAAGAAGGUUUUCGGAUCGUAAAGCUCUGUUGUAAGAGAAGAACGAGUGUGAGAGUGGAAAGUUCACACUGUGACGGUAUCUUACCAGAAAGGGACGGCUAACUACGUG
rnacentral:rRNA from 1 species